rnacentral:rRNA from 1 species
UUGAACGCUGGCGGCAGGCCUAACACAUGCAAGUCGAGCGGCAGCGCGGGGCAACCUGGCGGCGAGCGGCGGACGGGUGAGUAACGCGUAGGAAUCUACCCAGUAGCGGGGGAUAGCCCGGGGAAACUCGGAUUAAUACCGCAUACGCCCUAAGGGGGAAAGCAGGGGAUCGUAAGACCUUGCACUAUUGGAAGAGCCUGCGUUGUAUUAGCUAGUUGGGGGGGUAAAGGCCUACCAAGGCGACGAUCCAUAACUGGUCUGAGAGGAUGAUCAGUCAAGCCGGAGCUAGGACACGGUCCGGACUCCGACGGGAGGCAGCAGUGGGGAAUAUUGGACAAGGGGGGCAACCCUGAUCCAGCCAUGCCGCGUGUGUGAAGAAGGCCUUCGGGUUGUAAGGCACUUUAAGUGGGGAGAAAGGUUCGGCAGCUAAUACCUGCCGGAAGUGAUGUUACCCACAGAAUAAGCACCGGCUAACUCUGUGCCAGCCGCCGCGGUAA